rnacentral:rRNA from 1 species
CGGCGGACGGGUGAGUAACGCGUGGGUAACCUGCCUCAUACAGGGGGAUAACAGUUAGAAAUGACUGCUAAUACCGCAUAAGACCACGGUACCGCAUGGUACAGUGGUAAAAACUCCGGUGGUAUGAGAUGGACCCGCGUCUGAUUAGGUAGUUGGUGGGGUAACGGCCUACCAAGCCGACGAUCAGUAGCCGACCUGAGAGGGUGACCGGCCACAUUGGGACUGAGACACGGUCCAG